rnacentral:rRNA from 1 species
GGGGAAUAUUGCACAAUGGGCGCAAGCCUGAUGCAGCGACGCCGCGUGCGGGAUGACGGCCUUCGGGUUGUAAACCGCUUUUGAUCGGGAGCAAGCCUUCGGGUGAGUGUACCUUUCGAAUAAGCACCGGCUAACUACGUGCCAGCAGCCGCGGUAAUACGUAGGGUGCAAGCGUUAUCCGGAAUUAUUGGGCGUAAAGGGCUCGUAGGCGGUUCGUCGCGUCCGGUGUGAAAGUCCAUCGCUUAACGGUGGAUCUGCGCCGGGUACGGGCGGGCUGGAGUGCGGUAGGGGAGACUGGAAUUCCCGGUGUAACGGUGGAAUGUGUAGAUAUCGGGAAGAACACCAAUGGCGAAGGCAGGUCUCUGGGCCGUUACUGACGCUGGGGAGCGAAAGCGUGGGGAGCGAACAGGAUUAGAUACCCUGGUAGUCCACGCCGUAAACGGUGGAUGCUGGAUGUGGGGCCCGUUCCACGGGUUCCGUGUCGGAGCUAACGCGUUAAGCAUCCCGCCUGGGGAGUACGGCCGCAAGGCUAAAACUCAAAGAAAUUGACGGGGGCCCGCACAAGCGGCGGAGCAUGCGGAUUAAUUCGAUGCAACGCGAAGAACCUUACCUGGGCUUGACAUGUUCCCGACAGCCGUAGAGAUAUGGCCUCCCUUCGGGGCGGGUUCACAGGUGGUGCAUGGUCGUCGUCAGCUCGUGUCGUGAGAUGUUGGGUUAAGUCCCGCAACGAGCGCAACCCUCGCCCUGUGUUGCCAGCACGCCAUGGUGGGAACUCACGGGGGACCGCCGGGGUCAACUCGGAGGAAGGUGGGGAUGACGUCAGAUCAUCAUGCCCCUUACGUCCAGGGCUUCACGCAUGCUACAAUGGCCGGUACAACGGGAUGCGACACGGCGACGUGGAGCGGAUCCCUGAAAACCGGUCUCAGUUCGGAUUGGAGUCUGCAACCCGACUCCAUGAAGGCGGAGUCGCUAGUAAUCGCGGAUCAGCAACGCCGCGGUGAAUGCGUUCCCG